GGGCCAUUAGCUCAGUUGGCAGAGCACUUGACUUUUAAUCAAGUUGUCCGCAGUUCGAAUCUGCGAUGGCUCACCA
rnacentral:tRNA from 4 species